CCGGGGGGCUAACUGCAGUCGAGCGAAUGGAUUAAGAGCUUGCUCUUAUGAAGUUAGCGGCGGACGGGUGAGUAACACGUGGGUAACCUGCCCAUAAGACUGGGAUAACUCCGGGAAACCGGGGCUAAUACCGGAUAACAUUUUGAACCGCAUGGUUCGAAAUUGAAAGGCGGCUUCGGCUGUCACUUAUGGAUGGACCCGCGUCGCAUUAGCUAGUUGGUGAGGUAACGGCUCACCAAGGCAACGAUGCGUAGCCGACCUGAGAGGGUGAUCGGCCACACUGGGACUGAGACACGGCCCAGACUCCUACGGGAGGCAGCAGUAGGGAAUCUUCCGCAAUGGACGAAAGUCUGACGGAGCAACGCCGCGUGAGUGAUGAAGGCUUUCGGGUCGUAAAACUCUGUUGUUAGGGAAGAACAAGUGCUAGUUGAAUAAGCUGGCACCUUGACGGUACCUAACCAGAAAGCCACGGCUAACUACGUGCCAGCAGCCGCGGUAAUACGUAGGUGGCAAGCGUUAUCCGGAAUUAUUGGGCGUAAAGCGCGCGCAGGUGGUUUCUUAAGUCUGAUGUGAAAGCCCACGGCUCAACCGUGGAGGGUCAUUGGAAACUGGGAGACUUGAGUGCAGAAGAGGAAAGUGGAAUUCCAUGUGUAGCGGUGAAAUGCGUAGAGAUAUGGAGGAACACCAGUGGCGAAGGCGACUUUCUGGUCUGUAACUGACACUGAGGCGCGAAAGCGUGGGGAGCAAACAGGAUUAGUCCCG
rnacentral:rRNA from 1 species